UACAUUUAUUCCACCUUUCUACUACUUUCAACUCAAGACAUUGACGUAUCAGGCUUAAUAUCUUUUCUCAACAGUGAUGAACUUAAACACAAUUGUAUUAAUUGGUCAUCCAGGGAUGAGGUCGGGUUAGUCUGGGUGUGUGCCAGUGUGUUUCACACAGACUGGGAUGAGAGUGGGGUGGGGAGACGGUCAACUGAAAUUCUGGCAGCUGUACAAUGCUAUGACUCUGUUUCGGUUGGCAGGACAUGAAGACUGUAAAGAGUGGCAGGUAUUUAUGUUGGCACUGACAUUUCUUGUCCUAUUCCUGGGGAAUUUUCUCACCACAUUAAAAGUUGUUCAUCAAAAG